CGGCGGCGGCGAGGCUGCGGGGGGCACCCUGCGCCCUGCCCUGGACCCCCGGUGAACUGGCGCUGCCUGUCAGGAAGCAAGAGUCAUUUCAAGGUAGACCCAGCAAUGACAGCUUAAAAAUGGAGUAGGAUGUCUCAGUCCAGAAGCUCUGCUGAAAUCUAUUUGGCAUCAUAGCAACACACAAGCCUCCACUGACAGACAGAUGGUGGCUGCGCCUGAGUCACAUUGGCUGGGAAUUAAACCCUGGUUUCUCUCAGGAACGGCUGGCACAUGAUGUGUGGUGAUGAGCCAGCUUUUACCAUACAGAUGAAGACAACGCCCUAGAAGGUGGUAGAGCACAGAGACAGAAGAUACUGGGUCCCUGGAUGUGAAAAACAGAGCCACCUUCCUCUGUUGUGUUUUGUGUGAGAGAAAUAAACUUUCAUCUUGUUUAAGCCACUGUAUUUUGGCAUGUGUUUAUUGCAGCAACUUAAACUGUACCCCAACUAAUACAGCCACCUUUCUGUGCCUCUAUUUAUUUUUCUCUGAAACGGCAAUGGAAUUUUGUAGUCUACUAGGUUGUUGCAAAAAUUAGA